GCUUAAUACAUGCAAGUCGUACGGGAUCCGAGGUAGCAAUACUUUGGUGAGAGUGGCGCACGGGUGCGUAACACGUAUGCAACCUACCUAUAACCGGGACACAACCUCGAGAAAUUGUGGCUAAUAUCCCAUAACACUGCGAAGUGGCAUCAUUUUGCAGUUAAAACUCCGGUGGUUAUAGAUGGGCAUGCGCGACAUUAGCUAGUUGGUGAGGUAACGGCCCACCAAGGCUACGAUGUCUAGGGGUUCUGAGAGGAUUAUCCCCCACACUGGUACUGAGACACGGACCAGACUCCUACGGGAGGCAGCAGUAAGGAAUAUUGGUCAAUGGGCGCAAGCCUGAACCAGCCAUGCCGCGUGAAGGAUGACGGCCCUAUGGGUUGUAAACUUCUUUUGUACGGGAAAAAACCACCGGUCGUGUAUCGGUGCUGAUGGUACCGUAAGAAUAAGCAUCGGCUAACUCCGUGCCAGCAGCCGCGGUAAUACGGAGGAUGCAAGCGUUAUCCGGAUUCAUUGGGUUUAAAGGGUGCGCAGGCGGAAUAAUAAGUCAGCGGUGAAAGCCUACAGCUUAACUGUAGAACUGCCAUUGAUACUGUUAUUCUUGAGUG
rnacentral:rRNA from 1 species